rnacentral:pre_miRNA from 1 species
CACUCAUAACUUUCUGAAAAACUCUUUUGGGCUGAAGCUUUCAAUGCUUGAUUUCAGUCCAAAGGUUUUGGGAAUUUGUGAGC